rnacentral:misc_RNA from 1 species
GAUGAAGAACGUAGCAAAAUGCGAUAAGUAAUGUGAAUUGCAGAAUUCAGUGAAUCAUCGAAUCUUUGAACGCACAUUGCGCCCGCUGGUAUUCCGGCGGGCAUGCCUGUUCGAGCGUCAUUUCAACCCUCAAGCCCCCGGGUUUGGUGUUGGGGAUCGGCUCUGCCCUUCUGGGCGGUGCCGCCCCCGAAAUACAUUGGCGGUCUCGCUGCAGCCUCCAUUUCGUAGUAGCUAACACCUCGCAACUGGAACGCGGCGCGGCCAUGCCGUAAAACCCCAACUUCUGAAUGUUGACCUCGGAUCAGGUAGGAAUACCCGCUGAACUUAAGCAUAUCAAUAAGCGGAGGA